rnacentral:tRNA from 1 species
CCUGGAAUAGAUUAGUUGGUUAGAGCGUGUGGUUGUUAACCACAAGGUCAGAGGUUCAAGCCCUCCUUCUAAUA